rnacentral:lncRNA from 1 species
CACACAUCAGACAUAUGUGUGUGUGUUUGUGCGACUAGAAGAGGGCAGGGGAAGAACAAACCCUAAACAACACAAAUCAAUCAAAUUGAAAGGGGAUUUGAGGGCUAAAUGAAUGCAUGAACCAAGAAUGUUGAUCCCUUAAGUGUUUCUAACAUCAAAUACCAUAACGUACAAAAAGGAUUGUGAAAGUAAUGUUUAUGAAAGCUAAAGUAUGAAGUUAUGACAUAUUGGCACGAAGAAAGAAGAAGGCGCAAGUCACUCGAAAUCACAAGCAUCUCAAGAUCGCGGUAAAUCCCAUGCUUGAUUGCGGCGCGCUCGGACCGAACACACACAGUGUCGACUUUUAUGCGCUUCCGGUUCAAGUUACUUAUUUUUGAAUGGGUCAAAAUAUCAUUUUUGUGUAGUAAAUGUUAAACUAGUAACUAGGAUGAUUGUAGUAGUUUGAAUUUUAAACUUUAUUUUGAAAAGUUGGAUUUAAUGUUUUGGUGAAAUGUGUAAGGUUUAAAUUUUAGCAUCUUUUGAAAGUGUCAUGGAAUGUAUUUUGAAUGAUCUUGAUAAAAGCAGGAAAUCGCCUUCUUUACGAAUGGGUCAUGUCAAAAUUUGUAAUAUUGUAAGAAGUUUAUGUUAUUUAUUAAAUGUCGAAAAGUGGGCGUUUCAUUUUUGAAAUCGAAGCUUGUCAAG